rnacentral:rRNA from 1 species
AUGCAGUCGAGCGGAGAUGAGGUGCUUGCACCUUAUCUUAGCGGCGGACGGGUGAGUAAUGCUUAGGAAUCUGCCUAUUAGUGGGGGACAACAUUCCGAAAGGAAUGCUAAUACCGCAUACGCCCUACGGGGGAAAGCAGGGGAUCUUCGGACCUUGCGCUAAUAGAUGAGCCUAAGUCGGAUUAGCUAGUUGGUGGGGUAAAGGCCUACCAAGGCGACGAUCUGUAGCGGGUCUGAGAGGAUGAUCCGCCACACUGGGACUGAGACACGGCCCAGACUCCUACGGGAGGCAGCAGUGGGGAAUAUUGGACAAUGGGCGGAAGCCUGAUCCAGCCAUGCCGCGUGUGUGAAGAAGGCCUUUUGGUUGUAAAGCACUUUAAGCGAGGAGGAGGCUACUUAGAUUAAUACUCUAGGAUAGUGGACGUUACUCGCAGAAUAAGCACCGGCUAACUCUGUGCCAGCAGCCGCGGUAAUACAGAGGGUGCGAGCGUUAAUCGGAUUUACUGGGCGUAAAGCGUGCGUAGGCGGCUGAUUAAGUCGGAUGUGAAAUCCCUGAGCUUAACUUAGGAAUUGCAUUCGAUACUGGUCAGCUAGAGUAUGGGAGAGGAUGGUAGAAUUCCAGGUGUAGCGGUGAAAUGCGUAGAGAUCUGGAGGAAUACCGAUGGCGAAGGCAGCCAUCUGGGCCUAAUACUGACGCUGAGGUACGAAAGCAUGGGGAGCAAACAGGAUUAGAUACCCUGGUAGUCCAUG